rnacentral:rRNA from 1 species
GACGAACGCUGGCGGCGUGCUUAACACAUGCAAGUCGAACGGAAAGGCCCUGCUUUUGUGGGGUGCUCGAGUGGCGAACGGGUGAGUAACACGUGAGUAACCUGCCCUUGACUUUGGGAUAACUUCAGGAAACUGGGGCUAAUACCGGAUAGGAGCUCCUGCUGCAUGGUGGGGGUUGGAAAGUUUCGGCGGUUGGGGAUGGACUCGCGGCUUAUCAGCUUGUUGGUGGGGUAGUGGCUUACCAAGGCUUUGACGGGUAGCCGGCCUGAGAGGGUGACCGGCAACAUGGGAACUGAGAUACGGCCCAGACUCCUACGGGAGGAAGCAGUGGGGAAUAUUGCACAAUGGGCGGAAGCCUGAGGCAGCAACGCCGCGUGCGGGAUGACGGCCUCGGGUUGUAAACCGCUUUCGCCUGUGACGAAGCGUGAGUGACGGUAAUGGGUAAAGAAGCACCGGCUAACUACGUG